CCUGAUCCAGCAAUACCGCGUGUGUGAAGAAGGCCUUAGGGUUGUAAAGCACUUUCAAUUGGGAGGAAAACCUGUCGGUCAAUACCCGGCAGCUUGACAUUACCUUUAGAAGAAGCACCGGCUAACUCCGUGCCAGCAGCCGCGGUAAUACGGAGGGUGCAAGCGUUAAUCGGAAUUACUGGGCGUAAAGCGUGCGUAGGCGGUUCGUUAAGUCAGAUGUGAAAGCCCCGGGCUUAACCUGGGAACUGCAUUUGAAACUGGCGGACUUGAGUUGAGUAGAGGGGAGUGGAAUUUCAGGUGUAGCGGUGAAAUGCGUAGAUAUCUGAAGGAACACCAGUGGCGAAGGCGACUCCCUGGACUCAAACUGACGCUGAGGUACGAAAGCGUGGGUAGCAAACAGGAUUAGAUACCCUGGUAGUCCACGCUGUAAACGAUGUCAACUAGCCGUUGGUCCUAUUUACAGGAUUAGUGGCGCAGCUAACGCAUUAAGUUGACCGCCUGGGGAGUACGGCCGCAAGGUUAAAAACUCAAAUGAAUUGACGGGGGC
rnacentral:rRNA from 1 species